rnacentral:lncRNA from 1 species
ACACAAUCCUAGAAGUGUUCUGUUAAACAGAGGUAUCAACCCUUAGGAAGUAUUACAGUCAUAUGUAGAUUUUAUGUAAGUAUCAUUUAGCAUAUACUAUUUUAUUUUUCAAAAUGAUUAAUGGACAUGACCAAUUACUUUACAUGAUGGGUGAGUCCUACUGGUGCAUUUAAUUAUUUAUUAAUAGAUUUUUUUUUUCUUGAGAGAUUAGAGCUAGUGUUAGAAGGUAUCACCCUCUAUAGGUCAAUUAUAAAUGAGACAACAUAUCCAGUUGUAACAAUGCAUCAAAAUCAAGAGCCUGGUCUAAGUUGUAGAAGAAUAGGGCAGGCAGACAAUUCUGACCCCCGUAAUAGGUCCUGUUUGAUCUUUAUAACCAAAUCUUACGUUUGUGGCAAUGCAUAUAAUAGUUCUGCUUUCAGUCACUUCUGAAUCUAGGCAUCCUAGGCUUCUUGCAGGAAAUUGAAGAAUAAAGUGACAGAAGGCAAUUGCCCUCUAAGGACCUGUUUUAGUCCGUUUUCAUGCUGCUGAUAAAGACAUACUCCAGACUGGGCAGUUUACAAAAGAAAGAUGUUUAAUGGACUUAAAAUUCCACGGGGCUGGGGAGGCCUCACAGUCAUGGCAGAAGGUGAAAGGCACGUCUCCCAUGGCUGCAGAUAAGAGAACAGAGCUUAUGAAGGGAAACUCUGCUUUAUAAAGCCAUCAGAUCUCGUGAGACUUAUUCACUAUCACAAGAACAGCAUGGAAAAGAUCUGCUCCCCAGGAUUCAAUUACCUUCUACCAGGUCCCUCCCACAAUAUGUGGGAAUUCAAGAUGAGAUUUGGGUGGGGACACAGCCAAACCAUAUCAGGACCCAUAAGAAAUGGUACCUCAUAUUUCAAGGAAAGGUCCAGUAAACUUUCUGUGUCAGAUUGCUUUAUAUGUUAGUCCAUCUCUGCCUACUGGUAGUUUUAAAAACAUAUUUUAGAGGAUUACGUGGUUAUUUUUACUUUUUACAUCUGUGUGCCACUCUGGGGUUGCCCUGCUCCCUGGGCGCCUGGACUGCACAAUCAGAGAUACAGUCUGAAAAAGCCAUCAUCUGGGAGCAUCUGGCUGCAGGGACUGAAGGUGGUAAAAGCAAAUUGGCCAUCUGCUGGGGCUGGUAUAGACACAGAGAUGAUACUGGAUAAUAUUCAGAUUGAUGUUUUACCCCAAGGGUGCUUGGAGAGGUUUUGUUUUGCAUGUUUUUCGGCAGACUUGGUUUAAAAAUUCAUGAAUGCACCUGGUUGGUUGUUUCUACCCUCUGUUUUUCACGUAUUCUGGCACAGCUAAAAAAACUCCUCAGCAAGAGUCUAAAUUGGAAAGGGAUUGUAUUCAGAGUUUAGAAGAAAAUCUAUGUGGUUUUCAUGAAAAUCACCUAAGUAUAGAUGUUGGGGUCAAGAUUUCCAAGAAUUAACAGCAUCAUGUAGUUUAGUUUUCAGUCUUAGAGAAAUUUAGCCAAAUGAUAUAUUCGAAAAAA